UCUCCCAGUCGCUGUUCCCACCCCGCGCCGCCGGCGCCCGCCACCCCCACCGCCGCCAGCUCGUCGUCCCGUCGCCGCGGCACUCGCGCCAGGAGGAGUAGGAAGCGGGGGUGGGGGGCGCGACGCGGGCGGCCGCCCUCUCGUUGUCCCAUCGCCGCUCGCCGUCCGCGCCGACCCACGGACGCCUCCCUACCACCGCCGACGUCGCCGCCGGGGACAUCAUCGUCGUGCCGCUGCCCGCUGCCGAGUACCCCUGUACCCCUGCAUUGCAGAGGUCUCAAGCAUCUCUUGUGCGGCAGCAGGAUUCAGAAGGAGGUAGAGGCCAAAAUCUGAUAUCCCAGGCUGGAAAUCGGCGUCAAGCAUAAUGUUGUUUGUUUUGAGAUUGCCGUGAAUAAUUGGGUUCUGCGAAGCUGUGUGAAGGUGGUCCAGUCCUUCGACAAUGCUGAAAUCCAAAGAGCAAAGAGCUCUUUAACUUACAACUUAGCUGCGAACAGGAAAUGUAAUUAUGAUUUUAGACAAGUGUUGGAGUCAGAACACUUCAUGUUAUUGAAUAUGCUUUUCAAUUUCUGAUGCAUCAUGUAAUUAUGUAAUGCAGGACCUGAUGGCAUGUUUGAGAAGAAGGACCACCAUUAAGCAUGAAUAGCAACACACCAUCAGGAGUCAUGCAUGUCUAAAAGAUUCCUGUUCCAUUGUUUUUCUUUUCCAUCGAAACCUAUUUGCCGCAACAAGAAAUAAGAAUGACAACUCUUAUGUUGACAGUCAGGUCUUAACUGUGUCAUUAGCUGAGCAAUUCCUGUCUUUGUUUUCUUUGCUGUCCCGUCCGCAUCAAAGAUCACAUGAAAGUUUGUCUUGCCCAGUUUCAGGAAAUCGUGUCACUGUUAUCAAAAAGCUUGCUAUUAUAUUCUGAUUGCUUCAGAUUGUGGCUUGUGCUAUUAUAUACAAGUUUCUUAUUGACCCUACUGCAGUUGAUAUGUAUUUAUUUUCUUACAAAAGUUUUCUGAUUCUUGCAUUAUGUUCCACUAUUAUAUAAAAUUUCUUGCUGACUUAUGUCUGGUUUUAUAAAAUUUCUGUAGCUGUUAUUUCUGUAGCUUGUCAGCAUGUAUGGUUUUGGAAUUUUGGUCUUAAAGUGUUACUGUUCUGUUUCAGGCACAUCUGCAAGUGUUUGUGCAUUUGAUCCUGACUGUAACAUGGUGCUUUAUAACCUGUGGAACAAGGGCAAGCAAAAGGAUCUGACUGUGAACAAGGCAUGAAUUGUGAACUUGUGAUGGACAAGAAGGAUCUUCAGCUCCUUUGUUUAUUAGUCACUUGUUUAUUAGUCACUCAAUGUUCUUUUCUGACGCAUGAUGUAUGAAAUAUUCAAGCCACAGUGUUGCACACUACUCAAAUUAAUAAAGUGCUUGCCCUUGUGAGGCCUGUAAAAAGCUGUUACAA